rnacentral:rRNA from 1 species
UACGUAGGGGGCAAGCGUUGUCCGGAAUUAUUGGGCGUAAAGAGCGUGUAGGCGGUCCGGUAAGUCAGCUGUGAAAGUCAAGGGCUCAACCCUUGAAAGCCGGUUGAUACUGUCGGGCUAGAGUCCGGAAGAGGCGAGUGGAAUUCCCGGUGUAGCGGUGAAAUGCGCAGAUAUCAGGAAGAACACCAAUGGCGAAAGCAGCUCUCUGGGACGGUACUGACGCUGAGACGCGAAAGCGUGGGGAGCGAACAGG